rnacentral:lncRNA from 1 species
CUUUACUGAAGUUGUUCCCUGAUGUUAUGAUAAAAAAGAAAGGGCCUGAGUCUAUGUAGUUGUAGUCUGGUGCCUGCUUUCAAAUGUUUAUUCUUAAAAAACCAAACAUACACCUGAUCCAAAAUGUUAUCAGCAGUUUUCUUUUAAAAGAAUACUUAAUUAGUUGUACCUUCUAGUUUAUUGCUGUUCCUGCAUAUGUGUGAUGCAGGACGCUAAUUCUGAUUGUUCUCUAAGAUUACAGUGAUACUGUUGGCCUCGUUAUCAGCUGUAUUGAUUUUGGAAAGAUUCAAAGCUAAAAUUGGUUGAAAGCAUCCUUGUAUGGGACUAAAAGGGGAAUCCAGCUAUUCUGCUCCAUCCUGGUCCUGGCUGUUGAACCCUUAGGGCAGCUCAGUCAUAAGUUGUUUCCCAAACUGAACUGUGAACCGGGACUGUGGAUGUGACUGGCUUUUGGAUGGGGAGAAGCUACGUUUGUAUGUACCAAGACCUGAUCUGAAAAGACUAUAUAGAAGAAUGGGCUGCAAUGUUGCAGCUGAGAAUCCUAUACAGAAAUAUGGAUGAAGAUACUCAGAAGACACUACAUGUAACACUGCCAGCAGAAGAGUCCAGAAAUGGAUCUGUAAGCUACCUCCUUCAACUGACAAUGACUGUGCGACACUUGGACUCCCAGGAAAAGCCAUCUAGCACAGAUGGGGACAAAGAAAGGAAAAUAAAUGCUACAGUCAGGCUUAUAAAUCUCUUCUGAGACAGGACAGCCUCCAGGCAGCCAUGUCACCCAGGAGCCCACUGCUCCCUGCCAAAGAGCUGAGGACGUUCUCAGCCUUGCCUUCACUCUGAGUGUGGAAAAGGUAGGCUUGACCCUCUUUAGCAGGGGGGAUGGAAACUCUUUGGUAGCAUCCCCUGUAUCUGCUGGAGUCAGCCAGGAGAGCUCCACUGACCCAAGUUGCCCCAGGAUGACCGCUUUCUACUGCGAUAGGCUCAGCAGUGUCACAGCAGUGCUCAUGGAAGGGUAAUGUGUGGAAGAACAACUGCUAUUUUUUCCAGUGGAUACCAUGGAAAGACGGAGGCUGAGAAAAUUACUUAUACUAACUAAAUUUGUUCCUCUCUGCUUUUCUUGCUUACUCUGCAAAUAAACAGAGACCAGGUGCCUAAUUUAUUCA